rnacentral:tRNA from 1 species
GGUAAAAUGGCUGAGUUGUAGGCGGUAAAUUGUAAAUUUACAGACGAAAGUUUUUUCUUUUACCA